UGCUUCUAGGCGGACUCGAACUGCCACGACUUGAUUACAAAACAAGCAUACUGCCAUUAUAUUAUAGAAGC
rnacentral:tRNA from 1 species